rnacentral:rRNA from 1 species
AUGAACGCUGGCGGCGUGCCUAAUACAUGCAAGUCGAACGAGUUCUCGUUGAUGAUCGGUGCUUGCACCGAGAUUCAACAUGGAACGAGUGGCGGACGGGUGAGUAACACGUGGGUAACCUGCCCUUAAGUGGGGGAUAACAUUUGGAAACAGAUGCUAAUACCGCAUAGAUCCAAGAACCGCAUGGUUCUUGGCUGAAAGAUGGCGUAAGCUAUCGCUUUUGGAUGGACCCGCGGCGUAUUAGCUAGUUGGUGAGGUAAUGGCUCACCAAGGCGAUGAUACGUAGCCGAACUGAGAGGUUGAUCGGCCAUAUUGGGACUGAGACACGGCCCAAACUCCUACGGGAGGCAGCAGUAGGGAAUCUUCCACAAUGGACGCAAGUCUGAUGGAGCAACGCCGCGUGAGUGAAGAAGGCUUUCGGGUCGUAAAACUCUGUUGUUGGAGAAGAAUGGUCGGCAGAGUAACUGUUGUCGGCGUGACGGUAUCCAACCAGAAAGCCACGGCUAACUACGUGCCAGCAGCCGCGGUAAUACGUAGGUGGCAAGCGUUAUCCGGAUUUAUUGGGCGUAAAGCGAGCGCAGGCGGUUUUUUAAGUCUGAUGUGAAAGCCCUCGGCUUAACCGAGGAAGCGCAUCGGAAACUGGGAAACUUGAGUGCAGAAGAGGACAGUGGAACUCCAUGUGUAGCGGUGAAAUGCGUAGAUAUAUGGAAGAACACCAGUGGCGAAGGCGGCUGUCUGGUCUGUAACUGACGCUGAGGCUCGAAAGCAUGGGUAGCGAACAGGAUUAGAUACCCUGGUAGUCCAUGCCGUAAACGAUGAAUGCUAGGUGUUGGAGGGUUUCCGCUCUUCAGUGCCGCAGCUAACGCAUUAAGCAUUCCGCCUGGGGAGUACGACCGCAAGGUUGAAACUCAAAGGAAUUGACGGGGGCCCGCACAAGCGGUGGAGCAUGUGGUUUAAUUCGAAGCAACGCGAAGAACCUUACCAGGUCUUGACAUCUUUUGAUCACCUGAGAGAUCAGGUUUCCCCUUCGGGGGCAAAAUGACAGGUGGUGCAUGGUUGUCGUCAGCUCGUGUCGUGAGAUGUUGGGUUAAGUCCCGCAACGAGCGCAACCCUUAUGACUAGUUGCCAGCAUUUAGUUGGGCACUCUAGUAAGACUGCCGGUGACAAACCGGAGGAAGGUGGGGAUGACGUCAAAUCAUCAUGCCCCUUAUGACCUGGGCUACACACGUGCUACAAUGGAUGGUACAACGAGUUGCGAGACCGCGAGGUCAAGCUAAUCUCUUAAAGCCAUUCUCAGUUCGGACUGUAGGCUGCAACUCGCCUACACGAAGUCGGAAUCGCUAGUAAUCGCGGAUCAGCACGCCGCGGUGAAUACGUUCCCGGGCCUUGUACACACCGCCCGUCACACCAUGAGAGUUUGUAACACCCGAAGCCGGUGGCGUAACCCUUUUAGGGAGCGAGCCGUCUAAGGUGGGACAAAUGAUUAGGGUG